rnacentral:tRNA from 1 species
UCCCUGGAAGUCCUGUGGUGAAGACUCUGUGCUUCCAAUGCAGGGGGCUCAGGUUCAAUUCCUGGUUGGGAAA